CCAGCUCGGAACUCAGAUGGGGCACACACUCAGGGGACCCUUCCCGGCGGUAAUAAAACUGCCGUUUCCGCGAAUGCUUACAAAGAUGGGUUCCCCUCACGAAAAAAGUCACUCGGUUUUCCUAAAGGCCCACAGAAGGAGUAUUUUCUUCUCAAUGUUUGCUUCCCGAGUGUUUUUCGACAGGCUGUGGAGCGCGCAGGUGCCGGUGUCACCUAAGCUAUGGUCGUGGGACCUAGAGAGCCAUCUAGAGAGGGGCCUGGUUUUGCUCAGCACCUAACCCCAGUUUAGCAUAGUGCCUGUGAAUCUGAUGUCAGCAAAUCACAGAAGAAAAGAGAUGCUGCUGACAAACCAAGAGGAUUUGCCACAGGUCUUGAUCCUGAAAGAGUAAUUGGUGCCACAGAUGGCAGCGGAAAAUGGAUGUUU
ensembl:lncRNA novel transcript